CUCGACCGCCGUGCUACCUUGAACAAGCCCAAUCCCGUCUGAUCUCGGAAGCUAAGCAGGAUCAGGCCUGGUUCCUACUUGGAUGGGAGACCACCUAGGAAGACCAGGUGCUGUAGGCG
rnacentral:rRNA from 1 species